GUAGACGCAUGCGCGAACUGACGUCACAGCAAUGGCGUCAGUCAGAAACAAGUCGCAUGGCGUUGCAGUCUCCGCAAGUACGUCGUCGUUUUUCCAAGUGAAAAAAUUAAUUCUCUUAUGAAAAUAUCGAAUUAAUUGCAACGUGAUCAAUUACUGCAGGGUCUUCAAACAUCGUUAAAACUGUAUUCCAACUGCGAUUGUAAGAGGAAUACUACUCGGAAGAGGACAAUUCGUUCAAAUUAGGAGUUUUUUUUGAAACUAUAAUUAUUAUCUUGAUGGGAGAAAAAUGGGAGGAAUUCACUACAGAAGAUAAUUUUGCUGCAAUAAGAAAGGGGUUGUCGUUUGUAUAGAAACAUGGAAUCCAUCGAAAUUCUCCGCCUGAAAUCCGAUUUGUUGAGAUUCCAAUUGCCUUUGCUAUUCUUCAGCUUCUUCGGGUAA